rnacentral:rRNA from 1 species
AGUGAACGCUGGCGGUAGGCCUAACACAUGCAAGUCGAACGGCAGCACAGUAAGAGCUUGCUCUUACGGGUGGCGAGUGGCGGACGGGUGAGGAAUACAUCGGAAUCUACUUUUUCGUGGGGGAUAACGUAGGGAAACUUACGCUAAUACCGCAUACGACCUACGGGUGAAAGCAGGGGAUCUUCGGACCUUGCGCGAUUGAGUGAGCCGAUGUCGGAUUAGCUAGUUGGCGGGGUAAAGGCCCACCAAGGCGACGAUCCGUAGCUGGUCUGAGAGGAUGAUCAGCCACACUGGAACUGCGACACGGUCCAGACUCCUACGGGAGGCAGCAGUGGGGAAUAUUGGACAAUGGGCGCAAGCCUGAUCCAGCCAUACCGCGUGGGCGAAGAAGGCCUUCGGGUUGUAAAGCCCUUUUGUUGGGAAAGAAAAGCAGCAGGUUAAUACCCCGCUGUUCUGACGGUACCCAAAGAAUAAGCACCGGCUAACUUCGUG